GAGCGCCUUUAUGGAGAGUGUCGCGGUUCCGCCGCGAACGCCGAAGGGGCAAACCGGUUGAUCGCUGGGCAGCCGGUGAAACUCUCAGGCUCAAGGACAUGAAGCGUGCA
rnacentral:ncRNA from 2 species